GACGAACGCUGGCGGCGUGCUUAACGCAUGCAAGUCGAACGGAAAGGCCCUGCUUUUGUGGGGCGCUCGAUUGGCGAACGGGUGAGUAACACGCGUGUAACCUCCCCUUGACUUUGGGAUAACUUCAGGAGACUGGGGCUAUUACCGGAUAGGAUCUCCUGCUCCAUGGUGGGGGUUGGAAAGUUACGGCGGUUGGGGAUGGACUCGCGGCUUACCGGCUUGUUGGUGGGGUAGUGGCUUACCAAGGCUUUGACGGGUAGCCGGCCUGGGAGGGUGACCGGCCACAAUGGGACUGAGAUACGGACCAGUCUCCUACGGGAGGCAGCAGUGGGGAAUAUUGCACAAUGGGCGGAAGCCUGAUGCAGCAACGCCGCGUGCGGGAUGACGGCCUUCGGGUUGUAAACCGCUUUCGCCUGUGACGAAGCGUGAGUGACGGUAAUGGGUAAAGAAGCACCGGCUAACUACGUG
rnacentral:rRNA from 1 species